rnacentral:rRNA from 1 species
AGCGAACGCUGGCGGCAGGCUUAACACAUGCAAGUCGAACGCUCGUAGCAAUACGGGAGUGGCAGACGGGAGAGUAACACGUGGGAACGUGCCCUUCAGUUCGGAACAACCCAGGGAAACUUGGGCUAAUACCGGAUACGUCCGCAAGGAGAAAGAUUUAUCGCUGAAGGAUCGGCCCGCGCCUGAUUAGCUAGUUGGUGAGGUAGUGGCUCACCAAGGCGACGAUCAGUAGCUGGUCUGAGAGGAUGAUCAGCCUCACUGGGACUGAGACACGGCCCAGACUCCUACGGGAGGCAGCAGUGGGGAAUCUUGGACAAUGGGCGCAAGCCUGAUCCAGCCAUGCCGCGUGGGUGAUGAAGGCCUUAGGGUUGUAAAGCCCUUUCGGCGGGGAAGAUAAUGACGGUACCCGCAGAAGAAGCCCCGGCUAACUUCGUGCCAGCAGCCGCCGUAACAC